UUGCGCAAUGGGCGAAAGCCUGACGCAGCCAUGCCGCGUGAAAGAUGAAGGUCUUAGGAUUGUAAAAUUCUUUCACCUGGGACGAAAAUGACGAUGCACAGAGCAGAAGCCCAGGCUAACUUCGUGCCAGCAGCCGCGGUAAUACGAAGGGGGCUAGCGUUGCUCGGAAUUACUGGGCGUAAAGGGCGCGUAGGCGGAUCGUUAAGUCCGAGGUGAAAUCCCAGGGCUCAACCCUGGAACUGCCUUUGAUACUGGCGAUCUUGAGUAUGAGAGAGGUAUGUGGAACUCCGAGUGUAGAGGUGAAAUUCGUAGAUAUUCGGAAGAACACCAGUGGCGAAGGCGACAUACUGGCUCAUUACUGACGCUGAGGCGCGAAAGCGUGGGGAGCAAACAG
rnacentral:rRNA from 1 species